AACGAACGCUGGCGGCGCGCUUAACACAUGCAAGUCGAACGAGAAGGCGUAGCAAUACGCUUGUACAGUGGCGAACGGGUGAGGAAUACAUGGGUAACCUACCCUCGAGUGGGGGAUAACCCGCCGAAAGGCGGGCUAAUACCGCGUACGCUUCCGAUCUUGCGGGAUUGGAAGGAAAGCUGUCCCUUGGGGAUGGCGCUCAAGGAUGGGCUCAUGUCCUAUCAGCUUGUUGGAGGGUGACGGCCUACCAAGGCAUCGACGGGUAGCUGGUCUGAGAGGACGAUCAGCCACACUGGCACUGCGACACGGGCCAGACUCCUACGGGAGGCAGCAGUGAGGAAUAUUGCGCAAUGGGCGAAAGCCUGACGCAGCGACGCCGCGUGGGGGAUGAAGGUCUUCGGAUUGUAGACCCCUUUCGGGAGGGAAGACGGCCUUAGACAACUAAGGCGGACGGUACCUCCAGAAGCAGCCACGGCUAACUUCGUGCCAGCAGCCGCCGUAAC
rnacentral:rRNA from 1 species